UACGUAGGGAGCAAGCGUUGUCCGGAAUCAUUGGGCGUAAAGCGCGCGUAGGUGGCUUCGUAAGUCCGUUGUGAAAGUCAAAGGCUCAACCUUUGAAAGCCGAUGGAUACUGCGGAGCUAGAGUACGGAAGAGGCGAGUGGAAAUUCCUGGUGUAGCGGUGGAAUGCGCAGAUAUCAGGAAGAAACACCGGUGGCGAAGGCGGCUCUCUGGGCCUUACCUGACGCUGAGGAGCGAAAAGCGUGGGUAGCGAAACAGG
rnacentral:rRNA from 1 species